GACAGAGGUGCCGAGCGUUAGGCGGAAUCACUGGGCUUAAAGCGUGUGUAGGCGGGUCGUUAAGUGUCUUGUGAAAUCCCCCGGCUCAACCGGGGAAUGGCUGGGCAUACUGGCGAUCUUGAGCAGUCUAGGGGCAGAUGGAACAAGUGGUGGAGCGGUGAAUGCGUAGAUAUCACUUGGAACGCCAACGGUGAAGACAGUCUGCUGGGGACUUGCUGACGCUGAGACACGAAAGCCAGGGGAGCGAACGGG
rnacentral:rRNA from 1 species